rnacentral:lncRNA from 1 species
ACGAUGCCAGCCAGAAAACCUGAUUAAAAGCCACAAACAUGCUCUGCAAAACUGUCCACGGUCCUGCUUAGACAACGUAUUCAGAGAGACAGACAAAGAGCGUGCGUUAGUUUUCACGGACAGAUUUUGCUUUUAUACGAGUGUCACACUACAUCAGAAGUAGCCACGUAGCAAUUUUCAAAAGACAUGGAUGGAUACAGUCCCGGCGCCAUACGGGCAAAAAUCAGCUUCAUCGAUAACACCACCAAAGCACCAGAAGAGAGCGGGCAGGCAUCUUGUUCUUGGGUCCCAAAAAUGCUUGCUGCCCAACCUAGCUUACUGUUGUGCGCACUGCACUCUUUGGGCACCGCCUCCGGGCAUCUCGUCGUCCUCAUCGUACGCCUCCUGAGCAGCAGCAUGGGCUUUCCGACGCAUCUCCUCCUCCAUGUUGACAUCAUGCAUCGUCGUCUCCUCGCAUUCGUCGAGCUCCAUGUCGGUCAGCUUGGAUGCAGGCUUUGGUGGAAGCACAGCCUCGAGAGCCUUGCACUGAUCCGGUGCCAGCGAGUCGGGGAAC